AACGAACGCUGGCGGCAGGCUUAACACAUGCAAGUCGAACGCCCCGCAAGGGGAGUGGCAGACGGGUGAGUAACGCGUGGGAAUCUACCCAGUUCUACGGAAUAACCCAGGGAAACUUGGACUAAUACCGUAUACGCCCUACGGGGGAAAGAUUUAUCGGAAUUGGAUGAGCCCGCGUUGGAUUAGCUAGUUGGUGAGGUAACGGCUCACCAAGGCGACGAUCCAUAGCUGGUCUGAGAGGAUGAUCAGCCACACUGGGCCUGAGACACGGCCCAGACUCCUACGGGAGGCAGCAGUGGGGAAUAUUGGACAAUGGGCGCAAGCCUGAUCCAGCCAUGCCGCGUGAGUGAUGAAGGCCUUAGGGUUGUAAAGCUCUUUCAGUGGGGACGAUAAUGACGGUACCCACAGAAGAAGCCCCGGCUAACUUCGUGCCAGCCGCCGCAGUAACAC
rnacentral:rRNA from 1 species